UAAUUCCAGGAAGCCCCUACUCCCUGACCUCUUCUUUCUUGCUUACUUCAAUCUUUUAGUCUCACUGGUACCUUCAUCCAGUAUCUUUCCAAAGCCAGGGGACAGAUGCCUUCUUGAACUGCUUCCUGCUUUCUUGUCCUGUCUCAGCUCACAAAACUGGCUGCUCCUGGUGCAACAAAGGAGUAUUUCUGUGGUGCAGCUGAAACAAAAGCCACACACAGUAAAACAACAUGACCUACAGUUGCAGUAGGCUUCUCUUGAGUUGAAUAGCCUGACACAUGGUGAUGGUUGUCGGCCAAAUUAGUAGUGGCAUGUCUUCUGGAAAAGGAGAAAUCCUGUAUUUUUAUGAUGAACAUUAAUAAAGCACUUCUGCUUAUCUUAAUAAUAUUGCAGUGAGAAGAAAAAUAAGGUCAGGGUGGAGUAGGGGAGAGAAGCUUUAAGGGGAAACACUUUAGAGGCUUAAGUUAUUUCCAUAUUCACUAAAUUGCAACGAUUAAUAGAGUUAACUAUAGACAUAUAUUUGCUUAUUAGAGAUGCAUGGGAGCAAAAGCAAGCUGAGGUGGUUUUAGGAUAAGCUGUCCAGGAGUAAAUAGCUUUUGGAUUUCUCUUUUUUAAAUAUUAAAAUUCCUCUCAGUUGUAUUUGAAGUGUUUAAUGAGAGAAGAAAAAAAUGUAGUCUGUUCCAAUUUUUUCUCCAGCUGGGUUACAAAUUUGCUUACAAACCUAGUGUUAUCAUGAAGUUAAUAACCACAGUGACAGCACAGAACAGUUGGAGUGUGUGAGGCUUUAAUUUCUGCUGGGUUCAGAAUCCUGCUCAUGACUUCGAUUCGCUCUUUCCUUCCCUGCCCUUCUGGAGCUGUGUCAGGUGCCCACAUCUGAUGUGGGAGUUCUGUGUGCCCACAAUCCUGAUGCGGGAUUCGAGAGUGUGCAGAGUGCUGCCCAAUGUCAGAGCUCUCUGGCAGAGGAGUAGUUGGAAUUAAAAUCACAAUUAACUCUUUGGUGGAAUUCAAAUAAAAGUUAGGCUAAGACAGAGGGAGCCUGAGGGAUUUCUUCCCCAGGGCUUGGCCAGCUUGGUGUCUGUGUUCAGCCCUCAGACACAGCAGGUGCCUGACAGCAAGGGGAGCAGGAGAGAGCAGGAGUCUGGACUUCUGACUCUGAGGCAUCUCUGAUCACACUUGGUUCCAUAACAUCUGAUCAAAACUAUCUUGUGAAAACCCAUAAACAAGUCAGAAAGUAAAAGAAAGUGGAAUACUUCAGCCAAGCUGACCUCCUUCAAUCACGUAGUAAAGUAGACAUGACUUGUAUUCAAAAAGUUUCAGUCAACCCCAUAGCUGCUAGACCUUUCAUGUCAAAAGUAAAAUGAGAUUGUUUUGCCUAUGCAGAAAAAUGUAUGUUACAUGUAUGAAACAGAAAUACUGCAUAUUGAGAUUAUUGGUCGCAUAAUUGUUGUGUUUUUUUUUUUUUUAAACAACCCAAGGUGUUGAUGCAGCAGAUAUUUUUCCUCAGUUAGGGAAAAUGUUAUAGCAUUCAAGUGAAUGUAUUCUUUUUCUCAUUCAGGAGCCAGCUCAGCUGAUAGCAUAUUAAAAUUGAAACAUUUUUCCAGGAUUAUGACAUAAUAAAUACAGCAGUUAGGAGCAGACUAAAGGUGCUUCCAACCCAGUAUCUGGCCUCUGACAGGGUCAAAUUAUGAGAUAUUUGAGAUCUUAAGAAAUGGAAAACAUGGGGUAAUUUUUUCUUAUUAUAGUCUCAAAAUUCUGUAAUUUGUCAUUCUGUAAUUUGCAAGUAAACUGUAGUCUGUGAUUUGAUGAACCAGAAGAACAGUUACAUCACUGUGUUUCAUAGAUAUUCAUGAAGAUUUCCUUCAUUUUAUCUCAUUUCUUCUUUACUCAUUCAUAUUAUAAGCAGAUUUUAAAAAUCCUACUGCCAUGAGUAACAUCAUCUAAUUAUAGCAUGACUAGUACUUUCUUUCACUGGCUUCCCACUCAGUCUUAUAUUAAAAAUAUGAAUGAUUUCUUCUUUACUUUCUCCAAUAGAUUCAUGAUUUUGUGGUGGUUGUUUGAUUACAUUUUAUUAUUCUAUUACAGUUGUUUUAGUUUAUAUAGUAUUUUAUUAUUUCAUGCAUGUUCUUUUAUUUAUCUUGUUUUAAAACUGUGGAAUUAUAUCUGACCUCAGUUGACCCUUCUUUUCCUGCAAGGAAAGAAAGCAUGACAGUCAUUUUUAUGCCCCUUCCCAGUGCCUUGCCUUGCACUAAAAUGUAAACAUUGGAAUGGCAUCACCUGGUUUGCACAUGGCAGUCAGAACAUGGUCAGUCUUUGCCUGAAGAGAUGUCAUUUUACAGGGAGUCCAAUCCAUUGCAGAGAAUUUAUUCCCAAUUAUCCUGAUUUGACUGUGGCAAAUAGAUGGUAGAGGGAGGGGAUGAGGCAUCAUUUUUUGUUAUGAUUGCUUGAUUUUACAACCUUAGUAAUAAUGUUCUAACGUCUAUUUGCAUACUUACCAGAAGGGGUUGUGACUUUUUCAAAAUGUGUUCGUUCACCAGAAGAAAAGCGUAAUAAGAGGCUUAAUGAUCAGAUUUAAAAGCACUUUUUCAGAUCAAUUCAACAAAAGGAAAUAUUCUGACUUGGAGGUUUAAAAAAUGCAAGAUGAGUAGGUUCCUACUGGAAGACAAAUUUCAAUUCUGCAGAACGUUAAUUUCUCUGGAAUUCUGAAUAUUCAUUUUGAAUAUGAACAUUUAUCUUGAAUACAUGCAAAAGCAUAAAAAUCUUGUCAGAUCCACUAUUCAGAAGGCAGGAAAUAAAAAAGCCAAGAUUGUGACUUGGUCCCUCUGCCAUGUAUUUAGUAAUAUACUAAUCUGUAAUUACAGGAACAUGUAGAUUCUGUCCAUAGGACCCUUUCUUUAUUCAGUGUACAAAAUUAACUGCACUCCUUACUGAUUCAAUAUUUUGUUUCAUCUUCCAUGGUCAAUACAAGGUUAUAGUCUUUACUUAACUGUAGUCCAUUAAAACUCUGCUCCAAAGCAAAAAUUAUUAAUUCCUGAUGGACUUUUUUCUCCUAUCACCAUUCUAAUGUUUUAGUGUUUUAGAGGCAUUAAUGAAUGUAUCUUGCCUGUGCAGUCACUGAGGGAUGUUGGGAGCUGGCUCACAGAGAUAAAAGUUUAACAUGUGCACUCACUUCGGAGCUCAACUUCACAUGUACAACUGGGUUUUGAGAGUACUUAAUGCUAUUUUAGAUGUUAAAGUAAUAAAAAUAUUGAUUCAGUUGCAACUGUAGGGCUCAAACAUUUUGCUCAAUCAGUUCCAUCUCCAAGAAGAAAUGUCCAGCUGAUCCUGGCCAGCUGCUUGCCUAGAGCACACAGGGAGUGGGAGGCUUGUGCAGGCAGAGCAUGCACAUCCUGGGCAGGGCAUUCCUCUCACCCUGAACAUGAAAUUCCGUGUCUCCCUUGCAAAGGGGUUACAGAUGUUGUUGAUGCAUUCCCAGAACAGGAGUUGUCCUCUGAGUGCUUUGUUUCUGCUCUGCAAGGCUCAGCUUUCAAGGUAUUUUAGUUAACUGAAGUAACACUUGCAUUUAAAAAAGUUCUUCAUUUGUGUAAAUUGCUGUUGAAUUGCAGAAGAAAAGCAAAAGAGAAAUCCAGUAAAAAGAGAAAUCCAGUAAUCAGUAGACCCCAUUUCAGCUGUCAUAAAACUGCAGCUAUCAUUGCUGUUCAAAGAAUGUUCACCAAGUGUUUCAGGUGGGUGAAAUAUUAUCCAUUUUUGCUGUAGAAAUGGUAGAGGUGUUUUCUACUAGAAUUCAACUAGAAUGGGAAAAACUCAAUUUCAUUGUUUGAAGUUCAGCAAAAUUACAUGCUACUCAAUAGCUUUUACCAAGGGAAAUGAGAGAAAGCUUGAGCAGUGAGCAGUAUUAACAUGCUUAGUAAUGAAAAAUCAUUAGAGUUCCAUAUGAGUUUCUCUGGAUAACAAACUUGAUUUCCUGUAAAAAGUGUAAAAAUGUCCUAUUGCAUCAUUUAAUUCAAACAAAGAGCUUCAGUAUUUUCUACUCCCUCCAGGCAUUAGAAAGUGCCCUUGAAUUUUUGUGUUGUGUAUGAUGUAAAUUUAUUUGUUUAUGGUUAUAUUUAUCUCCUUAUAUUCUGUCUGAAUAAUCUAAAUUACAAGCUGUAAUUAAUUCUCUAUUACUGCAGUAUGUGCUGAAAACAUACAUAAAUAAUGAAUAUAUUUUGGAUGUGUCUUGUUGUUUUAAGCAUUUCACCUAAGCCUUCAGAAUUACCUCAGGCCAACAUUUGUGUUCUUGCUCCUUGCCAAAAAAGGUGUAAUAUUUAAUAGUAGCAUUCAUUUUAUUUUACUACAUUUGUUGCUGCGUUUUAUGUUAGGAAGUAUGAUAGCUUUAGCACAGCAAUUGUUGAUUUAUUGGAUUUGAGUGUGAACACUGACACACAUUAAAACAUAAAUGUUUUAAUUAGUUACUCUAGAAUUUAACAGGUAAUUUCAGAGUCACCUAACUUUCACAGAGAUUAACCGUGAACUGACCCAACUCACUUUCAAAUAUUUUAAAUUACAAAUGUUGGCAGAAAUUAGGUUAUGGCACAACUACUAUAGCCUUUACUCCUGUAAAAACACCAGAACUCGAGCAGAAAAGAUCUUCCCCUCCUGCAGUUGUUGGUCACCCCUCUUAAUCAGGUUUCCACAAGCAUGGCCACAGGGAGUGCAAACCCCCCACACCGUGUUUUACACUCCUCAGUGCAGGGCUGUCUGUUUUCCCAGCAGCAGAGAAUUCCCUUGGCUUUCCUGCCCACCACAUUGUCCUGCUGCUUUGUUCGCUCUAUUGUUUUUUCCUGCAGAGUGAUGCAUUGCUGUAUCUCCUCUUGCUGCAGCUGAAGUAGAGCCAUCCAUCAUCCCAAUCACUGGAACUAAGGACCUUAUGGACUGGGAGUAAAUUAUGUAGCUUUGGGGAGGCAGAGAGGAAAAGAGCAAGAGUUUUUUUGUGUGCUUGGGUUGUGUGUUUUGUUUUGUUUUGUUUUGUUUUGUUUUGUUUUGUUUUGUUUUGUUUUGUUUAUCUCCUUUCCCUGAACCUGCUUUUUUUUGUAUUACUGUUUCCUUUUGCAUAAUAAUCCUUCCUUGCUUAGGAUCAUGAUAAGGUAGAUGCAGCAGAAGUAGUUUCAUUAUUUCCAGAAUGCAAAUUUAAUCAAUAUAAAUGAAGUUAGCAGCUCCAUAGCUGACUCGACUGUUGCUUGGGUCUGAAUUUGAGUUUCAUCUGUGCCUUUCUUUUCAACUUUAAUGUAAUGCAGAUGCAGACUUCACUGAAAUAAAUGUACAGUAAUCCAUAAAAUAAUGUUGCAUAGGUGUUGAGUCCAAUUUACUGUUACAGGCAAGAUCUUCUUCCCAUUCAGAUAAAAUAAAAUCCAAGAGAGGCUCCUGGUUUUCAUUUUAAAGACUACAAAUUAUUAAACCCUGAAACUUUGCCCUCAGUCUAGGUCAUAUUUUGGCACUUAAAAUUAAGUCUUAAAUUUAACUCAUAAACUAAACCAGAGCCCAAAAUCUCAGCAGUGUAUCCUGUCUAACUAGGACCACUGAAAACAAAGGAGAUGAUUGGCCUAAUUUUCACUGCUAUUCCUGAGUAUUCCCGAGUGUCUCAUCCUUGUGGAGCCUUACAGUAUCUCUGGCCCUUCUCUCCAAACUUCUGGCUUCUCACCCCUCUCUCCACCUUGUCAUCUCCCUGACAGGAGAAAAGUACCCUUCUUACUGUUCAAAAUUUUUCUAUGCCUUAAAGGGAUUUUUUCAAUUUAAGCUAAGCCUCAAGUUUAUACCAAUUAAAUUGUUUAUAAGGCUUCAAGGUACAGAGCUGCAGAGAGAAUUGUAAAGUUUGGGUAUUAAGGCGAGGAUUUUUUUUCUUCUAGCAAAGCCAUACUAAAUUUGAUAUCCCAGAUACUCUUCAGACUGUCUCUUGAUGUUCAGUGCAUGUCUGAAAUAACAGAACAAAGGAAUAAUGAAACUGCAGUUUAAUGACAAAAGCACCUUGUUUUUCAUAGCCUUGUCAUGGAAAUUGUGUGAAAAUAAAUUUGAGCAAGCUUUGUUGGUAUAGUUAAUGAAACAACCAAAGAUGCUCCUAUUUUCUUUUUGAUAAUUACCAACGAGUCUUUACACCACUUUACAUUCAGAGAACAAUGAAAUAUCCUUUUUAGAGUUUCAAAGUAAAAUGAAUUUUCUCUGCAUUUGAUAAACUUAGUUUGAAUAUCCAUUUCGAUAUAUGCUCAGAGAACUGAAUUCUAAGUCCAUCAGCUUUCAGCUAACCUUUUGGGGAGAGACAGUAGAAGCAUCUUCUCUCUAUCAGAGGUGAUUUAAACUUAGAUCCAUCUGGCAAAGACUUGACUAAAAAUCCCUUUCCCUGUGCCUUAGGGUCUGUUUUUCUGGAUAAUGAGGUGAGGAACUGGACCCUGGUGGGCCAUGAGUCGAUUACACCUCUAGACUGAAGCUUUGGCAUAACAUGUGAGGAAUCAUCUGUGCAUCUGUUGCACACCAAGUGCAAUAUGCUGGUGCAUAUUUACCUGAGAAUUUACUUUCUUCUUUGUGGAAGGAACCACAGUACUCUUGGGCUUUGUACAGCUUAUAAAUGAAAAUUACUAUGACACUGGCAUUAGUUUCUUCUUUGCUAGAAUACAAGCAAAAACUAUCUAUAUGAUGUAGAGGGUUUAUUAAAAUUAUACUGUAAGACUAAGAUCUUUAGAUAGGUAAAACCUUUUUUUUUUUCUAGAUGUCAUAUUUUACACCUUUACUCAAACUCAACCUGGCUGACAGAACAAAAUGAGCCACAUUUGCUCCAGCCAAGGAAUAUUAUAGGUAUACUCAGACCCAUAGAAUGUGACCUGGUAUCUCUCUGAAGUUUAUAGCUCCAGGGCCAUGUAUAAGGAUAGAGUAUUGUCCCCCUGAAUAAAAACAAGUACAUCUACCUUUGUGAUGAGUGUCAUGUUUAUUGCUGAUAACUGAAGGAGAAGCUGGUAAAUGAGAUAGUGCCUCUCCUCUCUGUGUAAGUUCUAGGCUAGAUGCAGUAUGAUGCUUACCAUUGGAGAGAUGUCAGGUUCCUGCAGAGUUAUAAUGCAAAAUGAUGGAGAAUUUCACACACUGGCCAUGAAUGUGUGUUAAUUAUCCAGCUGUAUAUGGUAGACCAAAUUAUAUGCCAUCAAUUAAUUUCUCAUAUUGAACAAAAAUAUUUACUCUAAACCAAAUUAUUUAGAGCUUAUUUUUGUUAAGGUGAAUUUGUGGGUGCAAUUUUCCGACAGAAGUCCCUGAAGUCAUUCCACACCCCCUACUGAACAGUCAUCAGAAUGUUUACUGAUAUUUUCAGCUGGAUUUGGUGGAAUAAGGUGCCAUGAAACACAGUUCUUGUCAGUCAUUGGAGUCACUAGUCAUCACAUUUCCCUUUCACUUGUCAAAGGCCAAUAUUUCCAUUUCCUCACCCUUUUCCUUGAUAAAAGAAAUGAAAUUUCUUGUUUUAAAGUGAUAAAGGGGUCUGUUUAUUCACUUAAUAAGGGUGGUUUGGUUUUUGUUGGUUUCUUUGGUUUAUUUUUGGGUUUUGUUUGUUUUAUUUCCCUGACAAUGUGUUUGUUUUGAAUAUUCAUUUCUUCACAGGAUUUGCAAAUAUACUUUUUACUGAAAACAGAAUAAUUACAUCUAUUUCUGUUCCAGCUCUGCUGUUCUUGGACUCGUUCUUUUGCUGAAUUGACCUGACAUAUUCCUCAGCUAAGUAAGGAAUGUUAUUAGCAAUUCUAAUGUGCUUCAUUUGAAAUCCACAUGAAGAAGGAAAAAGUUUACAAAUACAAGGAAGAGUAAGAUACUGAUCCCUAUAGGAUAAUCACUUACAAAAUAGAGGGAACAUGAUCAUAGUUAAUCUUUUUCUUCUGGAAAUCAUUUUGCUUGGGAGAACAAAAGGAUUGGGAGAAACAAGAGCUAUUUAGCUUUAUUUCUUUAUUUUCAUACAGAUUUCCCUCAAUGAUCCAGUUCCAUAAUCAGUACUUAAAUACUGCUCUUUCUGGAUUGGAUUUAUGGUCUCUAUGUUCUUCCAUGCUUUACCAUAAGUUGUUCUGUGCCACCCAUUUUCCUCUUAAAAUGUCAGCCUCUGGGGUCAGGUUAUUGUUUGAAACAUGUAAAACAUUUUUUUUGCUUCAUUUCCAUCCUUUUCCUUCUCUUUUUUUUUUUUUUUUUUUAACUACUUUACCAGCUCUCCCAUGUUUUUCUGAAAUAGCUUUAAAAUUGUGAAGUUUCAUGCUCCCAUGACUAGAACUCAACAUUUUAAGGUUUUAAAACCCAAACCAUAAUUUGGGGAGCUAUGAAUACCUUGAAAUUUUUUAAACCUAGCAUCUCUCUUGUCAUCUACUGUAUGUCUCUUUUGCCCAUCAGAGGCUGAACAGUAGAAGUUGUCACCAUCACUUUCAGUACCAAAAUAAAGGGGUUAUUAUGCCACUUCUGAUUGCAGGUGUGCCCAUAAACACAGAGGAGGACUGGGGAACAUAAGGCACCCUCUUGAGUGAAUUUCUGUUGUCUUAGCUGGAAAUUCCUGACAGAAUUCAGGAAAAUAAUAUUUUUAUCCACAUGUAAAAAGACACAUUUAUGGUGUGAGUAACUAUGUUGUCUUCACAUACCCUGUCUGGAAUUUGGGCCAGUGGGAUGCCUAGUAAAGGGACAAUCUUGCCAGUGUGUAGAAAAAGAAAAAAAAAAAAAAAAAGGAAUAUUUAUUAUAUAUGUUAAAUAAUAUUUAUUAUUAUUUUAGAUCUGCCACUGGUUCAAAUUUUCAUAUUUUGCUUAUAUAAAAUUCUGACAAGACUCCAUUAUGACAGAAAUAUUUAGGUAUUGACUAGAAUUUCUUGUUUGCAUAUUUUUUUCUGAAUACAGAAUAAAAUCGACAUUUUUAGCCAUAAAUAGAAGAGGGAAAGCACUUUGAUAAUGCUCAGCUGGAAGAAGUGAGGGAGGAGAACUGUUUUUAUGAAGAAGUGUUCAGGUAAAUGGUCACAUUUUGCUUCUCUUGUAUUUAAUGUCUAGACCUGGAGAAUAUAACAGUAGAUAUUUUUUAUGGGUUUUUUUGUUUUUUUUUUUUUUUAAUCUCCUAAAACAUAUAGGUGUGUUUAGACCAUGCAGAUCUUGCUUUUGAUCUCUGCUGCCCACAGAAACCCCACUGAUAUAGCUUCUGGUUCUAUCUUAAAUGUCUCAAUUUCACUGCCCCUUCCCCAAACAAAGAUGGCACUUAUUUAGCCAUUUUAAAUAUAGGGAGCUGAGGUUAGAUUUUAACAUCUUUAAUUCCCAGAAACAAAAAAAUGACAGCCUAGAGGGAAAAAUCCCAUCUUAGAUUAUUUUAACUUAAAUAAAAACAGAAAAAAUGAAUGGUAUAGCCCUGGGGACACAACUUUGAUCUGCUUAUUUCCAUCCAGGAACUGUCCUCAAUAUGAAGAGCAACAAUUUUAGCACUAGUUUACAACUCCCAAAAAUUCUCAAGAGAAAUUGAGCCUCUGUCCUCCAGCUGCUGCUGCCCACCCAGCUCUGGUGACAGGGCAGUGCACACUGCACUUUUCCAGAGUAGUUUUACUGGCUUAGGCAUUGCCUGUUUUGCCUUUCACACAGCUGGCUUGAACAGUUUAGUAGGGAAAUUGUUUUGUGGAUUCAUCAGGAUCACAUGGAGCAAUUCCCAUAUUCACACAACAUCUCUGGGACAAUUCCAGCCAUUGUUUUAAGGCAGCUUCAUAUUAGGAGCUGUUUCAUGUAUUUUAGCUCUUUUUAAUGCAAUUUGGCAUGGGAAAACAACUCAGACAGGGUGCCAUCAGCCAAUUCACUGCAUGCCAGGGUUUGGAAAUCUUGGCUAUGUGGCAUCCUUUGUUUCACACACCCACCUCCCAGCUUGGGUGAGCUCUGCCUGACCUGGCUCCUCUCACCCUCUGGACGGUGCCACAGCUUCUACUUCCCAAGCUUACAUGGGAAACAGGACUCCUGUGGCCCUGGGACCCCUUGGGGCUUCAGCUGAGCUCAGACCAUGCCUUUCCAGGUUUCUCACUGGGAAAGAGACACACUGACUCGACCCCUAAGGCUGGCCAGAUUUCUUUUGUGAAAUAUCUAUCUUGAACCUGGCACAGUGUGAUCUUCUCUGAGUGCACAGACACAGCAGAUGCAGACAGCUACAACAGCUGACCAUCACUUGCAGAACAAACCCAAGACAAGUCUUUCUGGAUACUGUGCUGCUGAAGAACCCCAAAAAUACCCAACAUAACAAAGAUAAACAAACAAACAAUGCCAGCUCUGGUGAGAUUUCUGCGUUGAAGAAAGACUGGGGUUUACUGUGGUUUUGUAAAAUAAUCAUGGUCAUUAUAAUUAAUAUUGUCUUCUAACAGGAACAGCAACUAGAACACCAAACAAUGACAAACAGCCCAUAUGUAAAGAACUGAAGGAUAUUCAUAUUACAGACUUUUUUGUUUCUGUCAUACUGGGCAAUUUUAUUUUCAUUUUGAGUUUUUAGCUCAUUCACUGUCAAAAUUAGCACAUUUUCACUUGAAGAAAUCAAGACACUUUGAGGCAAAGAUGAUGUUAAAAAGACCACCUUAAUAGUUAACAGUUGAAAUUUUACUUGGAGAAUAAAGGUUGCUUCCAAAAGUGAAAUUAUUAAUGUGAGAUAUCCAAAAUAAAAGCAAAUUCUGAUAAAAAA